rnacentral:lncRNA from 1 species
GUUGGGAGCAAACAAGUUCUCGGAGAGGCAGCCGAUAGGAACGGCAGCGCAGAGCGACAAGGACUACAAGGAACCUCCACCGGCUCCCUUGUUCGAGCCCGGGGAGCUCACCUCUUGGUCCUUCUACAGGGCUGGGAUAGCGGAGUUCAUGGCUACCUUCCUCUUCCUCUACAUCACCAUCCUCACGGUCAUGGGCGUGGUCAAGUCCAACAGCAAGUGCUCCACGGUGGGCAUCCAAGGGAUUGCCUGGGCCUUCGGUGGCAUGAUCUUUGCCUUGGUCUACUGUACCGCCGGGAUCUCUGGUAAGGGAUCUGCUUUCCCUUCCAUUUGGGUCUCUGAAACCUUUUGGUCGACUCACUUCUGCUAAAUCGUCAGGUGGCCACAUCAACCCCGCGGUGACCUUCGGGCUGUUCCUGGCGAGGAAGCUGUCGCUGACCAGGGCUCUGUUCUACAUGGUGAUGCAGUGCCUGGGCGCCAUCUGCGGUGCCGGUGUGGUCAAGGGGUACCAGAAGGGGCUCUAUGAGAGCAACGGUGGCGGAGCUAACGUCGUGGCUCCUGGCUACACCAAGGGUGAUGGCCUGGGUGCUGAGAUCGUCGGCACCUUCAUCCUCGUCUACACUGUUUUCUCUGCUACUGACGCCAAAAGAAACGCCAGGGACUCUCAUGUUCCCGUGAGUACAUGUCCAAGUUCUUGAUGUUGACCAUGGUUGAUCUGAUCUAACAAGUGUUACGGAUCUGUGCAGAUUUUGGCUCCCCUCCCCAUUGGGUUUGCCGUGUUCCUUGUCCACCUGGCUACCAUCCCCAUCACCGGCACCGGCAUCAACCCUGCCAGAAGCCUUGGCGCUGCCAUCAUCUACAACAAGAAGCAUGCCUGGGAUGAUCAUGUAAGUGUGUCUGUGGAACCCUCACAAGCCUCAGAUGACACUACUUACUAACUGUCCUGUUUCCUUGUCUCAGUGGAUCUUUUGGGUUGGACCCUUCAUUGGAGCUGCUCUUGCUGCCAUCUACCACCAGAUAGUCAUCAGGGCGAUCCCAUUCAAGAGCAGGCCCUGAGAGAGCCUUCCAUCUCCUCUCAUAAUCACCUGUCUCAUGAUUCUGUGUGCCUUUCUUUUAUCAUGGCUUGUUUCUGGCUUGGAGUGUGUUCCAGAACUGUGAUU